CCUACGGGCUGCAGCAGUGGGGAAUAUUGCACAAUGGGCGCAAGCCUGAUGCAGCCAUGCCGCGUGUAUGAAGAAGGCCUUCGGGUUGUAAAGUACUUUCAGCGGGGAGGAAGGCGGUGAGGUUAAUAACCUCAUCGAUUGACGUUACCCGCAGAAGAAGCACCGGCUAACUCCGUGCCAGUAGCCGCGGUAAUACGGAGGGUGCAAGCGUUAAUCGGAAUUACUGGGCGUAAAGCGCACGCAGGCGGUCUGCCAAGUCGGAUGUGAAAUCCCCGGGCUCAACCUGGGAACUGCAUUCGAAACUGGCAGGCCAGAGUCUUGUAGAGGGGGGUGGAAUUCCAGGUGUAGCGGUGAAAUGCGUAGAGAUCUGGAGGAAUACCGGUGGCGGAGGCGGCCCCCUGGACAAAGACUGACGCUCAGGUGCGAAAGCGUGGGGAGCAAACAGGAUUAGAUACCCGUGUAGUC
rnacentral:rRNA from 1 species